AUGCUCGCUUCAGCAGCACAUAUACUAAAAUCAGAAUGAUACAGAGAAGAUUAGCAUGGCCCCUGUGCAAAUUUGUGAAGUGUUCCAUAAUUUU
rnacentral:snRNA from 1 species